rnacentral:tRNA from 1 species
GCCGUUUUAGCUCAGUGGUAGAGCAGCUCUUUCGUAAAGAGCAGGUCCUCGGUUCAAAUCCGAGAAACGGCU